AACGUCGCAAGACAGUUCGGUCCCUAUCUGUGGUGGGCGUUAGUAAAUUGAGUGGACAUGACCUUAGUACGAGAGGACCGGGUCGUACGUACCGCUGGUGUAUCUGUUGUGCCGCCAGGUGCAAUGCAGAGUAGCUAUGUACGGACAGGAUAAACGCUGAAAGCAUCUAAGCGUGAAACCUUCCACAAGAUGAGUUUACUUUUAAGGGUCGUCGCAGACUACGACGUUGAUAGGCUACAGGUCUAAAGGUGGUAACAUCAAAGCCGAGUAGUACUAAUUGCCCGUAAGCUUUAAUUUUUUUAAU
rnacentral:rRNA from 1 species